UACGAAGGGGCUAGCGUUGUUCGGAAUUACUGGGCGUAAAGCGCACGUAGGCGGAUAUUUAAGUCAGGGGUGAAAUCCCGGGGCUCAACCCCGGAACUGCCUUUGAUACUGGGUAUCUCGAGUCCGAGAGAGGUGAGUGGAAUUCCGAGUGUAGGAGGUGAAAAUUCGUAGAUAUUCGGAAGGAACACCAGUGGCGAAGGCGGCUCACUGGCUCGGUACUGACGCUGAGGUGCGAAAGCGUGGGGAGCAAACAGG
rnacentral:rRNA from 1 species